CUUGAUGGAGCUGCUCUGUGCACAGGGACAUUGUCAUGCUGGAACAGCUGCAGGUUCUUCGGCUCUGGCAACACGUGAUGUGACGGCUGAGAUCUGAUUGGAGAACAGAUACUCGGAGCAGCUCGACUUAAAACCUACGCUGUUCAUUAUUUGUGGAAUUGUAUAGUGAUUUAUUAUUUUAAACUGUGGUUGGUAAUUGAUGUGUUUUUAUUGUUUGUAAAGUGUCCUUG